GCAUGGGAAGAGGAUCUGAAAAAGGUUGCAAAUAUCGAAGGAUUCAACUUGAAUACUACCAGCCCCUAAGACAUGGCUCAGAAGAAUAUUGCAGAGGUUUUGAGAACAAAAAAAUGUUAGAUGUUGACACCUGAAGCCUUCUUUAGGUUUGCUGUCAAAGAGACAAAGAAACGAUCUGGUUUCUUUGUAAUUCAAUUCCGUACAACUGCAUUCUGUUGCUAUUGUUUGGAGGAUUUUCUAAUGCUUUGGUGCCAUUAUUUACAAGCGGUGCCGGGAGAUAGAGGAGCUUUCAAACACUAUUUCAGGGUUAGUUAAGCUCAUACAUCAGUGUAGUGCCAUGCAACAAAUGAAAGGAUCUUUCAUUCUCAGUUCGGCAACGUCAGAAUCGCUGGUUGAGUUGGUUUUGCGACAUUUAAAGAUGAGGAAAUUAUCUAGUGAGUCCUAAAUCUAUUGUACCAAUGCCAACUCAGUGUUAAACUUUUCAAUUUUGCCAAUUUAA